rnacentral:tRNA from 1 species
GGCGCCAUCGUCUAGCCUGGUCCAGGACGCAGGGUUUUCAUCCCUGUAACACGGGUUCGAAUCCCGUUGGCGCUA